CCUACGGGAGGCAGCAGUGGGGAAUCUUGCGCAAUGGGCGAAAGCCUGACGCAGCAACGCCGCGUGCGGGAAGAAGGCUUUCGGGCUGUAAACCGCUUUCAGCAGGAACGAAAAUGACGGUACCUGCAGAAGAAGGAGCGGCCAACUAUGUGCCAGCAGCCGCGGUGAUACAUAGGCUUCAAGCGUUGUCCGGAUUUAUUGGGCGUAAAGAGUUCGUAGGCGGUCGAGUAAGUCGGGUGUGAAAAUUCUGGGCUCAACCCAGAGACGCCACCCGAUACUGCUUGACUUGAGUUCGAUAGGGGAGUGGGGAAUUCCUAGUGUAGCGGUGAAAUGCGCAGAUAUUAGGAGGAACACCGGUGGCGAAGGCGCCACUCUGGAUCGAUACUGACGCUGAGGAACGAAAGCAUGGGUAGCAAACAGGAUUAGAUACCCUGGUAGUCCAUGCCGUAAACGGUGGGCACUAGGUGUGGGUUUCUAUUAACGAAAUCCGCGCCGUCGCUAACGCAUUAAGUGCCCCGCCUGGGGAGUACGGUCGCAAGACUAAAACUCAAAGGAAUUGACGGCUUGAGACGNGCGAGCGACGACGAGGGAGGAG
rnacentral:rRNA from 1 species